CACAGAGACACUCACAAUGCUGAUACCUGUAGAUGGUACCAGUGUGCUCCAUGAACAGGUGCUUGCCACACUGGUUAAACAAGGGAACCUGAGAACUUUUCAGGGCUGCCAGACCACUAAGGAAAUCCUGAUACCAAAGCCUCUGCGUGUACCUGAGACCUGGGGCAGAAAGAAAGCCAGCAUGAAGGAACAUGUCUUGGCAGUCCAGUAGCUACAGCACUUACCUCAGGAAGGGGUUUGGAGUUCCCUUCUCUACCCUCAAGAUUAUUUGUGGUUUUAUAUUUCAAGCAUCCAAACUCCUGAGGUCCUGGAACAGCAGCCCAGCUGCAUUAGGAGGAUCCUCCUACCUCUCCCUUCUGCAGCCUUGUGGUAAUGAGGAUUGUACAGGGGAUAAAAGAUACGGAUGUGAAUUCUACUUGGCCAAGGGGUGCAAUUAGCUGCCUUAAACAAUUAAGGGAGGAUCUGACACCAGAAGACCUGCAUAUGAAGUUCAAAUGCAUGGUGAUUUUUAGAUAUUGCCUGGAAACUCUUUUUAAGUGUAUUUUUGAGAGACACUUUUGAGUGUGGCAAAUUCGUACAGUUAGUCAAAAUGAUACAUAUGCCCAUAGGAUUAAA